rnacentral:rRNA from 1 species
UACGAAGGGGCAAGCGUUGUUCGGAAUCACUGGGCGUAAAGAGUUCGUAGGCGGUCUUGCCAGUCAGAGGUGAAAGCCCAGGGCUCAACCUUGGAACUGCCUUUGAUACUGCAAGACUAGAAUCCGUGAGAGGGUGGUGGAAUUCCCAGUGUAGAGGUGAAAUUCGUAGAUAUUGGGAGGAACACCAGUGGCGAAGGCGGCCACCUGGCGCGGUAUUGACGCUGAGGAACGAAAGCGUGGGGAGCAAACAGG